UCUACGGGAGGCAGCAGUAGGGAAUCUUCCACAAUGGACGCAAGUCUGAUGGAGCAACGCCGCGUGAGUGAAGAAGGUUUUCGGAUCGUAAAGCUCUGUUGUUGGUGAAGAAAGAUAGUGAGAGUAACUGCUCAUUAUUUGCCGGUAAUCAACCAGAAAGUCACGGCUAACUACGUGCCAGCAGCCGCGGUAAUA
rnacentral:rRNA from 2 species